rnacentral:rRNA from 1 species
GACGAACGCUGGCGGCGUGCUUAACACAUGCAAGUCGAACGGAAAGGCCCUGCUUUUGUUGGGUGCUCGAGUGGCGAACGGGUGAGUAACACGUGAGUAACCUGCCCUUGACUUUGGGAUAACUUCAGGAAACUGGGGCUAAUACCGGAUAGGAGCUCCUGCCGCAUGGUGGGGGUUGGAAAGUUUCGGCGGUUGGGGAUGGACUCGCGGCUUAUCAGCUUGUUGGUGGGGUAGUGGCUUACCAAGGCUUUGACGGGUAGCCGGCCUGAGAGGGUGACCGGCCACAUUGGGACUGAGAUACGGCCCAGACUCCUACGGGAGGCAGCAGUGGGGAAUAUUGCACAAUGGGCGGAAGCCUGAUGCAGCAACGCCGCGUGCGGGAUGACGGCCUUCGGGUUGUAAACCGCUUUCGCCUGUGACGAAGCGUGAGUGACGGUAAUGGGUAAAGAAGCACCGGCUAACUACGUG